AGUGAACGCUGGCGGUAGGCCUAACACAUGCAAGUCGAACGGCAGCACGGUAAGAGCUUGCUCUUACGGGUGGCGAGUGGCGGACGGGUGAGGAAUACAUCGGAAUCUACUUUUUCGUGGGGGAUAACGUAGGGAAACUUACGCUAAUACCGCAUACGACCUACGGGUGAAAGCAGGGGAUCUUCGGACCUUGCGCGAUUGAAUGAGCCGAUGUCGGAUUAGCUAGUUGGCGGGGUAAAGGCCCACCAAGGCGACGAUCCGUAGCUGGUCUGAGAGGAUGAUCGGCCACACUGGAACUGAGACACGGUCCAGACUCCUACGGGAGGCAGCAGUGGGGAAUAUUGGACAAAGGGCGCAAGCCUGAUCCAGCCAUACCGCGUGGGUGAAGAAGGCCUUCGGGUUGUAAAGCCCUUUUGUUGGGAAAGAAAAGCAGCAGGUUAAUACCCCGCUGUUCUGACGGUACCCAAAGAAUAAGCACCGGCUAACUUCGUG
rnacentral:rRNA from 1 species